rnacentral:rRNA from 1 species
UACAGGGGGUGCAAACGUUGCUCGGAAUCAUUGGGCGUAAAGCGCGCGUAGGCGGCCACUUAAGUCGGAUGUGAAAGCCCUGGGCUCAACCCAGGAAGUGCACUCGAAACUGCGAGGCUAGAGUAUCGGAGAGGUUGGUGGAAUUCUCGGUGUAGAGGUGAAAUUCGUAGAUAUCGAGAGGAACACCGGUGGCGAAGGCGGCCAACUGGACGAAUACUGACGCUGAGACACGAAAGCGUGGGGAGCAAACAGG